AUGGAGUCAAACACACUCCUCCUAUGCAUGCUGCUGUUUGGUGUUCCAGGUUCCACAGGGGACAUUGUGCUGACCCAGUCUCCAGCUUCUUUGGCUGUGUCACUAGGGCAGAGGGCCACCAUCUCCUGCAAAGCCAGCCAGAGCGUCACUUUAUUUGGCUUUACUUAUAUGCACUGGUACCAACAGAAGCCAGGACAGCCCCCCAAACUUCUCAUCUAUGGAGCAUCCAAUACACAAUCUGGGGUCCCUGCCAGGUUCAGUGGCAGUGGGUCUGAGACAGACUUCACCUUCACCAUCAAUCCUGUGGAGGCUGAUGAUGCUGCAAUCUAUCACUGUCAGCAGACUAGGGAUGUUCCUCCCACAGUGCUCCAGGGCUAA